AUGAGAUGUGUGCCUCCUUUUCCAGGAUACUGAGGUUCUGGGAAGGUAAAAAACCUGAAAAAGUGGAGGACCUGAUAAUUGAGAGAUAUAUUUUUGUGCUUUGUUGGGAUCUACCCAUCUUGAAAUCCACAUCGGAACAUCUGCAUCUUUGGCUAACUAGUGCUGAAGUUCCUGAACUCUCAAAUGCUGAGCAUUUUGUUUACUUUAGCCAGUCACUUGUGGGUGAAAUGAGG
rnacentral:misc_RNA from 1 species